AUUGAACGCUGGCGGCGUGCUUAACACAUGCAAGUCGAGCGGUAACAGGCGUAGCAAUACGUGCUGACGAGCGGCGAACGGGUGCGUAAUACAUGGGAAUCUGCCUAGUAGUGGGGAAUAACCCGGCGAAAGCCGGGCUAAUGCCGCAUACGAUCCACGGAUGAAAGCGGGGGACCUUCGGGCCUCGCGCUAUUAGAUGAGCCCAUGUCGGAUUAGCUAGUUGGNGAGGUAACGGCUCACCAAGGCGACGAUCCGUAGCUGGUCUGAGAGGACGGCCAGCCACACUGGGACUGAGACACGGCCCAGACUCCUACGGGAGGCAGCAGGUGGGGAAUAUUGGACAAUGGGGGAAACCCUGAUCCAGCGACGCCGCGUGUGUGAAGAAGG
rnacentral:rRNA from 1 species